rnacentral:rRNA from 1 species
CGGACGGGUGAGUAAUGCUUAGGAAUCUGCCCAAUAGUGGGGGACGACUCGGGGAAACUCGAGCUAAUACCGCAUACGCCCUACGGGGGAAAGCAGGGGAUCUUCGGACCUUGCGCUAUUGGAUGAGCCUAAGUCGGAUUAGCUUGUUGGUGAGGUAAAAGCUCACCAAGGCGACGAUCCGUAGCUGGCCUGAGAGGACGAUCAGCCACACUGGGACUGAGACACGGCCCAG